rnacentral:lncRNA from 1 species
CCCGGCAGCCGGGGACCUGCCGGGGUUUCCUGUGAAGCGCAGGUCUAUAAACCUACAGGAUUGACACAGCUCUUCCUGAAGCUUAAUCAUGGCACAUGUGGAAACCAGCCAUGGGCUCUCAGGCCCACUCCUGCCCUGCCCUGGCCCCUCUGUGAUGGGAGAACCAGGACAAGAAGGGGCUGGAUCAGGUGACUGGUCACACAACCUGGGGUCCUUUCACCUUUCUGGGGGUCCCUGAAGGCAGGAAUGGAGUCUGUGAACUGGGUGUCAGUAUUUCUCAAAGCUGGCUGUCAGACACUGUGUCUGUCCCUGACGCGGCCGCCCAGGCUCGUGGAAUGCCAAGCGCCUGUCUCUGCUCAGGGCUGACAUCACCUCCGCGUGGGAACAGAGCCUGUGCUCAUGCCGAGCUCAUCGGGAUUGGCAGAAAUCUGCAUCCUUGUUUGGUUUCAAAACAGGGGGCCCAGAAGGAAGACUCAUGAAAGAUGCCCUUGUCGGCAGAAAUUUCAGGAGCUUGGCCCACAGCCCCUGUCUGCGCUUCGGCUGUGAAGAGGCCAGAACCACGCCCGCUGCCCAAGAGCUAGGCUCUGAUGAGGCUGCAGGUAGCAUCAACCUGCUUCCACCAGGGCCCAGGCUGAGCCCUCAUGGCACAAGGGUGCCCAUAGGCGUGUGGUGGAUGGGUGGACAACUUGGCUAACGCUCCUGUCACCUGUACCUGUCUCCCCAUCAGUAGGGCAGGGGCAGCUCUCACUUCUCACAGCUAUGGCCACUCGAUGUGUUCAGCAAUCUAAGUGGGUCGUCGCCUCAUUUUGUACAUGAAAAACCAGCCCAAGUAACUGCCCAAGGUCACACGGCCAUUCCCUCUGUCCCUUCCUCCCUGACUCAUGCCAUGCUUGUGUGAGGGGCUGCUGCGUGCCUGGCUGGGACCUAGUGGAAUAAGAGAGAGAAAGCCCUUGCUCCCAUGGAGCAGGCGAGAGGCGACACGGAUAGAGGCUGAGAGUGAGUGUCCCAUGGAGGAAACAACAGGGAGAUGCACAGAGGGCGGUGGGGUGGAGGCCAGCGAAGGGCUCUUUCCAGAGGGGGCAUCUGUGCUAAGACCUGAGGGACAAGAAGGAACUAGCCCCGCAAAUAGCACAAUCGGGUGCUUUUCCCUUUGAUGUCUGAGCAGCCUAGAGUCGCUCCAGACAGGCCCCGCUGUCCCCACUGCCACUGGCAGGAACAUC